rnacentral:tRNA from 1 species
CGGGGCCUGGGGAACCGGCUCGUUCCACCGGGCGCGCGUCCUGGCGGGGCUGCGAUGACGGAUCCGUUCGAGUCGGAAGAGUCCGCC